rnacentral:lncRNA from 1 species
CUGGCAGAGGAAUCCUGAAUCAACUGGCAUAGGUCUGCCACUGAUGCAGGAAGUUGAACCUGGCAGCUGCAGCCAAUCAGAGCUGAAGAACAGUCAAGUCAAGCAAACAUGAUCGCUGGAGAUGCAGCAACUAUCUUGGACAACAAGGUGACAAGAAGCUUAAUUUGACAACAAUACAAAAAGAUAGUAUCCUGUGUCCCUGAUGACACCAAGAGGGUGCAUAAUAUUUUCCUGCAGAUGUGGAACUUACAUAUACGGAGACCCAAUGGAAACCUCCUGGGUUUUCUAUGCAGACAAUUAUGUCUGCAAAUAAUGAGUUUUCUAAAAAAAUUCCUUUCUGAUUUUUUUUUUUUUUUUGCUUGUCUUAUUACAUUGCCUAGGAAUAACAUUAUUAUAAUGAGUAGAACUAGUGAUAACAGUCUUUUGUCUUUUUUGUGCAUUUAAUGCAAAUGCUCAUCUUUACUGUUAAGUGUGCUAACAGCUGAAGUUAUCAGGUUAAUAUACUUCACCAGGUUAAGAAAGUUUGUUUCUAUUUCUGUUUUGUUAAACUACAAAAAAAAAUCAUAAAUGAAAAUUAACUUUUCCUCUUGAUUUAUCACAUUUAUUUAAAUAAACACAGUUAUGAUUUCUCUUUUAAUCUACUAAAA